UCCUUCGGGAGCAAGUAAAGCGGCGCACGGGUGAGUAACGCGUGGGUAAUCUGCCCGAGGGUCUGGGAUAACUCCGGGAAACUGGGGCUAAUACCAGAUGAGACCACGUUGUCUGCGGACAGCGCGGGAAAAGGUGGCCUCUGCUUGCAAGCUACCGCCUACGGAUGAGCCUGCGUCCCAUUAGCUAGUUGGCGGGGUAACGGCCCACCAAGGCCGAGAUGGGUAGCUGGUCUGAGAGGACGACCAGCCACACUGGAACUGAGACACGGUCCAGACUCCUACGGGAGGCAGCAGUCGGGAAUUUUGGGCAAUGGGCGAAAGCCUGACCCAGCGACGCCGCGUGAGGGAUGAAGGCCUUCGGGUCGUAAACCUCUGUCGGAAGGGACGAAAGGUUCUCGAGCGAAUAGGUCGAGGGCUUGACGGUACCUUCAAAGGAAGCGCCGGCUAACUCCGUGCCAGCAGCCGCGGUAAUACGGAGGGCGCAAGCGUUGUUCGGAAUUACUGGGCGUAAAGCGCGUGUAGGCGGCCUGACAAGUCGGGUGUGAAAUCCCGGAGCUCAACUCCGGAACUGCAUCCGAUACUGUCAGGCUCGAGUCUCGGAGAGGACGGCGGAAUUUCCGGUGUAGAGGUGAAAUUCGUAGAUAUCGGAAGGAACACCAGUGGCGAAGGCGGCCGUCUGGACGAUGACUGACGCUGAGACGCGAAAGCGUGGGGAGCAAA
rnacentral:rRNA from 1 species